UGGGGAAUAUUGCGCAAUGGGCGAAAGCCUGACGCAGCGACGCCGCGUGAGGGAAGAAGGCCUUCGGGUCGUAAACCUCUGUCUAGAGGGAAGAAACCAUUGAGGUCGAACAGGCCUCUUUGCUGACGGUACCUCUGAAGGAAGCACCGGCUAACUCCGUGCCAGCAGCCGCGGUAAUACGGAGGGUGCGAGCGUUAAUCGGAAUCACUGGGCGUAAAGCGCACGUAGGCGGUGUCGUAAGUCGGAUGUGAAAGCCCUCGGCUCAACCGGGGAACUGCAUUUGAGACGGCGACGCUGGAGUGCCGGAGAGGGUGGCGGAAUUCCAGGUGUAGGAGUGAAAUCCGUAGAUAUCUGGAGGAACACCAGUGGCGAAGGCGGCCACCUGGCCGGCAACUGACGCUGAGGUGCGAAAGCGUGGGGAUCAAACA
rnacentral:rRNA from 1 species